rnacentral:rRNA from 1 species
CCGGCGCACGGGUGAGUAACACGUACCCAACCUGCCGUCUACUCUUGGACAGCCUUCUGAAAGGAAGAUUAAUACAAGAUGGCAUCAUGAGUCCGCAUGUUCACAUGAUUAAAGGUAUUCCGGUAGACGAUGGGGACGCGUUCCAUUAGAUAGUAGGCGGGGUAACGGCCCACCUAGUCUUCGAUGGAUAGGGGUUCUGAGAGGAAGGUCCCCCACAUUGGAACUGAGACACGGUCCAA